rnacentral:rRNA from 1 species
GUGUCAGCCGCCGCGGUAAUACAGAGGGUGCGAGCGUUGUCCGGAAUUACUGGGCGUAAAGGGCGCGUAGGCGGUUCGGUAAGUAGGAGGUGAAAUUUCGGGGCUCAACCCCGAAACUGCCUUCUAAACUGCCGAACUGGAGCACGGUAGAGGCAGAUGGAAUUCCCGGUGUAGCGGUGGAAUGCGUAGAGAUCGGGAAGAACACCAGUGGCGAAGGCGGUCUGCUGGGCCGUUGCUGACGCUGAUGCGCGACAGCGUGGGGAGCAAACAGGAUUAGAAACCCUCGUAGUCC